GACGAACGCUGGCGGCGUGCCUAAUACAUGCCAGUCGAACGCUGAAGGAGGAGCUUGCUUCUCUGGAUGAGUUGCGAACGGGUGAGUAACGCGUAGGUAACCUGCCUGGUAGCGGGGGAUAACUAUUGGAAACGAUAGCUAAUACCGCAUAAUAGUAGAUGUUGCAUGACAUUUGCUUAAAAGGUGCAAUUGCAUCACUACCAGAUGGACCUGCGUUGUAUUAGCUAGUUGGUGAGGUAACGGCUCACCAAGGCAACGAUACAUAGCCGACCUGAGAGGGUGAUCGGCCACACUGGGACUGAGACACGGCCCAGACUCCUACGGGAGGCAGCAGUAGGGAAUCUUCGGCAAUGGACGGAAGUCUGACCGAGCAACGCCGCGUGAGUGAAGAAGGGUUUCGGAUCGUAAAGCUCUGUUGUAAGAGAAGAACGAGUGUGAGAGUGGAAAGUUCACACUGUGACGGUAGCUUACCAGAAAGGGACGGCUAACUACGUG
rnacentral:rRNA from 1 species